CAGCCGCCGCGGGAAUACGUAGGGUGCAAGCGUUAAUCGGAAUUACUGGGCGUAAAGCGUGCGCAGGCGGUUUGUUAAGACAGAUGUGAAAUCCCCGGGCUCAACCUGGGAACUGCAUUUGUGACUGGCAGGCUAGAGUAUGGCAGAGGGGGGUGGAAUUCCGCGUGUAGCAGUGAAAUGCGUAGAUAUGCGGAGGAACACCGAUGGCGAAGGCAGCCCCCUGGGCCAAUACUGACGCUCAUGCACGAAAGCGUGGGGAGCAAACAGGAUUAGAUACCCCAGUAGUCCCUGUCUCUUAUAC
rnacentral:rRNA from 1 species